rnacentral:rRNA from 1 species
AUGAACGCUAGCUACAGGCUUAACACAUGCAAGUCGCGGGGCAGCAUGGGGGUUGCUUGCAAUCCCCGAUGGCGACCGGCGCACGGGUGAGUAACGCGUAUCCAACCUGCCCUUCACCACGGGAUAACCCGGCGAAAGUCGGACUAAUACCGUAUGUUGUCCAUUGACGGCAUCCGAUUUGGACGAAAGGUUUGGCGGUGAAGGAGGGGGAUGCGUCCGAUUAGCUGGACGGCGGGGUGACGGCCCACCGUGGCGACGAUCGGUAGGGGUUCUGAGAGGAAGGUCCCCCACACUGGAACUGAGACACGGUCCAGACUCCUACGGGAGGCAGCAGUGAGGAAUAUUGGUCAAUGGGCGUAAGCCUGAACCAGCCAAGUAGCGUGCAGGAUGACGGCCCUAUGGGUUGUAAACUGCUUUUAUGCGGGGAUAAAGUGGCCCACGUGUGGGUUUUUGCAGGUACCGCAUGAAUAAGGACCGGCUAAUUCCGUG